rnacentral:rRNA from 1 species
AUUGAACGCUGGCGGCAGGCCUAACACAUGCAAGUCGAACGAGUGGCGGACGGGUGAGUAAUGUCUGGGCAACUGCCUGAUGGAGGGGGAUAACUACUGGAAACUGUAGCUAAUACCGCAUACCAUCAGAUGUGCCCAGCUGGGAUUAGCUAGUUGGUGGGGUAACGGCUCACCAAGGCGACGAUCCCUAGCUGGUCUGAGAGGAUGACCGGCCACACUGGAACUGAGACACGGGCCAGAUUCCUACGGGAGGCAGCAGUGGGGAAUAUUGCACAAUGGGCGAAAGCCUGAGACAGACAUGCCGCGUGUAUGAAGAAGGCCUUCGGGUUGUAAAGUACUUGCAGCGGGGAGGCGGUACCCGCAGAAGAAGCACCGGCUAACUCCGUGCCAGCAGCCGCGGUAAUUC